GAACGUAUGGAUUAGCGGUCACAGCGCUUGGACGGUAAACAAGAGAGGCGGGUUCGAGUCAAGCUACAUUCA
rnacentral:tRNA from 1 species